ACUCACAUUGGACCUUAGACAGAGUGCACAGCCAGAGCAAGCUAGGUGGCACGAAAAAAUCAAACUGACCUGUGAGAGGAGCAGAGUUGGACGUGAACAAGUGAGCAAGAGCAAGCUGUGUGAGGUGUGACCUCAGCCAUGAAGAAGUGGCUGGCUUCUGGUUCUGUGUGUCUGUCUAGCCAGCAUCCUGGGAGCCUUGAAACUUCCCUUUAUGUCUCCACCACAAAACUUCCUAGCUUUGAACUACCUUGAGUCCGUUUUCAUCCUGUGAAUUCUUUGGGCUUGAUAAAAUAGCCAACAGCCGCCAGGGAGAAGGGAGGACCACAGUGCAAGAUAUCCACUCCUUCGGAAUGUCCAAACCCGUCAAGGCUGUGUUUUCUUUGUGCCAAGCUUCCAUGUUUUUCAGGAGCUAAAGAAAUCUGCUGUGGCAAUAAAUCCUUCAUAUGUGUGAAUGGAGGGUAAUGUUUCCUGAUUACGUUUUAGCUUCACUAUCCAGACAGCAGCCAGUGCUCCACGGGUUUGCUGCUCGUGCCUGAGGAGAAGGCAGCAGUAAGAUCCUGACCCACUCGAGAGCCCCUGUCUGCUCAGCAGCCAUGUGAUCGUGUGCUGUGCCUGUCACUUCUGAGGCUCUGUGGCUAUGAGAAGUCCUUCUGGAGCUCAUUUCCAAGGUGGAAUGCUUUGCCAUGCCUGGGUUAACAAAGCCUACCCCUUACCCCAGCUCACUGAUGGCUGUGUUAUCUACUGGACCGGAGCUCUUUUGUCCAUCAAGGGGGGAAUCUUUUACGAUGAGGAUUGACUGGCGUGAUUCUGUGUGAGCAACAACAAUAAUAAUCAACAGAGAAAACUACAGCCCAGCAUUUGCUUUCUCUGAGGCAAAUCAAUUAGAGUCUCUGGUCAACGGCUUAUUGACAGCAGAAAGAGGUAAAAUAACUUGUGCAAGGAAGAUGUGUACCGUGCACACACGAGAAGUUGCAUCUGGAUCCACAGCACUUGUGUAAAGAUCCAGCAUGGUGAUUUACACCAGCAAUCCCAGCCCUGAAGGAGCAGCAGCAAGAAGGUCUUUGGAGGGUGCUGGCCAUCCACUGUAGCCAAACUGCUAAGCAGUUUUACUUAGAGAUCCUGUCUCAGAACAUAAGGAAGAAGGCAAUUGAAGAAGACACUAGAUGUCAGCUGCUGCUCCCCUAUAUAAACAGGUGAACAAUGACGAAGAGGAAGGGCUCAUGGUUCAGUUCAAGGAAUUCGUCCUGGUAGCUGUGACUCAUCUUCCAGAACUGGUUCAGGACGAGCACAGAGGAACUGAAGACCAGGAGCUGCGCUUACAGCAGGAUCACCCAUGCUCCCCUCCGCAUGGUCCCCAAUUUGAUUGCUGUGUUUCAUUGUGUUCCCUUCCUGGAGGUGACAUCACAUUGUUCCGCAGAAAUGUCUUAGGGAACUGUAUGUACCUGGUGCACAGACGUACAUGGAACUCUGAACUUCCAUGAACA
rnacentral:lncRNA from 1 species